CGUGAUUCUAUUGAUUACAUGAGACGUCAAAAUGCUGCGCAAUGUGAUGCUGGAGGAUAUGAAUUGCUCUGUGGUAAACAUGCACUGACUAAGACGACUAUACCUACAACUACAUAUGCGACGUCGCUACUUGACUACUGACUAUGUACAAGACAAAAACGGAUGCACCAAUCAGUGACACCCACGCACUAACACUAUGGAUACUUCUACCCCGGGGCAACGAUUUCGUAUCCAUUCAUGACGAUUGAAAUGUGAAGGAUAGAUCCGCGGCUGAAAAUAUUCCUAAGGAUUUGCCUUUUAAAUCCGACACCUCGUAAGAACUGGUGCCAAGUUUCCGCAUAAUAACACAGGGUGUGUACUGCGGUCCCAGUUUAGCAUUGAACUGGUCUCCUGCUGACGACUGACGAAAACUCCGUUUAAACACUCGUUGACCCACAACGAAGCGAUUGUGGUUAUGUUUGCAGCCAGCAUGGCUGUUCUGCAGUCCACCCUGGUAUUCCGGAAUAGUACAUCGAACUUCCUGUCCUCAUCCCACUGUCUGGACAUGCUGCGGAAAAUUCGGACCAUAUCCAAAUAAAAAUCCUGGAAUUUUUCCCGAGGACCUUGCCUCCGCGCAUUAGCUAGGCGUUCAUACUGAUAAUCAAUGUCUACAGAUUUCAUCACCGUACGCAAGACUCUCUCUAAUUUACUGCGUGAUUCAUCCUUCCUGGCGAUAUCCCGAAUCAGUAAUUCAUGACACAGCUCUUCAUCGUCAAGAUGGGCAAAAUUCAACGAGUAGUACUGAGUCUGCAAGUGGGCUGAAUCCAUCUCGCAACGUUGUUUUUCCACGGAUAAAUCGAAAAAAAGUUGAGAAAAGGUAGCUAAUUUAACUACACGACAACAAUUAUGAUGUGGAAACCGCUAAUUAGUUUAAUGCCAAAUAAACACAGCCUUCUUGUUGUUUUAC